rnacentral:rRNA from 1 species
GAUCAUGGCUCAGGAUGAACGCUAGCUACAGGCUUAACACAUGCAAGUCGAGGGGAAACGACAUCGAAAGCUUGCUUUUGAUGGGCGUCGACCGGCGCACGGGUGAGUAACGCGUAUCCAACCUGCCUACCACUUGGGGAUAACCUUGCGAAAGUAAGACUAAUACCCAAUGACAUCCCACGAAGACAUCUGAAUGGGAUUAAAGAUUUAUCGGUGAUGGAUGGGGAUGCGUUCCAUUAGG